rnacentral:SRP_RNA from 1 species
UAAUAAAAGUGGAGCAACGGUCUUACGUGAAGUGGGUCAGGGGAGGAAUCCAGCAGCCCUAAGCGGUGUAGAGCGUGUGCUCUUUUUUAUAUCUU